CACGGAGUUAGCCGGUGCUUAUUCGUAUAGUACCUUCAGCUAUUCUCACGAGAGUAGGUUUAUCCCUAUACAAAAGAAGUUUACAACCCAUAGGGCCGUCGUCCUUCACGCGGGAUGGCUGGAUCAGGCUCUCACCCAUUGUCCAAUAUUCCUCACUGCUGCCUCCCGUAGGAGUCUGGUCCGUGUCUCAGUACCAGUGUGGGGGAUCACCCUCUCAGGCCCCCUAAAGAUCAUUGACUUGGUGAGCCGUUACCUCACCAACUAUCUAAUCUUGCGCGUGCCCAUCUCUAUCCACCGGAGUUUUCAAUAUCUAAUGAUGCCAUCAAAUAUAUUAUGGGUAUUAAUCUUCUUCGAAAGGCUAUCCCCUGAUAAAGGUAGGUUGCACACGUCGUUCCGCACCCGUGCGCCGCUCUCAAGAUUCCGAAGAAUCUCUACCGCUCGGCUUGCAUGUGUAGCCUCCGCUAGCUUCAUCCUGAGCCAGGACUCAAACU
rnacentral:rRNA from 1 species